UACGUAGGUGGCAAGCGUUGUCCGGAAUUAUUGGGCGUAAAGAGCUCGUAGGCGGUUUGUCGCGUCUGCUGUGAAAACCUAGGGCUUAACCCUGGGCCUGCAGUGGGUACGGGCAGACUAGAGUGCGGUAGGGGAGACUGGAAUUCCUGGUGUAGCGGUGAAAUGCGCAGAUAUCAGGAGGAACACCGGUGGCGAAGGCGGGUCUCUGGGCCGUAACUGACGCUGAGGAGCGAAAGCAUGGGGAGCGAACAGG
rnacentral:rRNA from 1 species